AAUCGAGGUUGAUUCAGUAAAAUCGUAACAAUAUGCAUGAAAGCGAUCCCAGCAAGAACACUAUAAGUCUUAGUUUACUUAGGUUACUUUUGUCGCUUAUUAUCGUAAUUUUCUUAUUAGUGUCGCCAUUCACCUUCCCACAAGCAAUUCUUUUGACAUUUGUUUUUUUUUCAUUCGAUCUCAAUUUAAAUCUAUCAAUUUUUCGUUCGCUUCGCGCUUUUUAAUAUAUCUAAAAUAAAAACGCCAUGUUUGUGUAAAGGAAGACUAAGCUUUUAUUUAUCUAUUUCUUUUAAACAUUUUUACACUCGAUUAAAACUCAACUCUACCCUUUCCAAAGUGUAAUCUAAUUACAUAUCCCUGCCAAAACACUCACAAGGUUUCGGGCAGCACUAGCAGAUAAGAAAGUUGUUUUAUUUAUCUUUCUCUUCUGACUAUAUACAAAUUAAAGACAAUUCAGUUGAACAGAUUAACCGAUUUAUUUUGUUCUUAUUUUCGAGUAAAAUGCCAUUUCGCAUCGUUUUCUCCGCAUCAUAUAGAAUUGAAAAAUAUAUAAUGAGGAUCCUAUACAAGCUGUGGGCACUCCAUACUGUACGGAAAAUGGAGCAUAUUGAUUGGAAUGGACGCUUAUCACUUUGCAGCAACAGCAGAUUUAAAAAUAUUCUAUAAAACUGUGCGAGGAGUCGCGAUCAUGACGGAGGCGUAUGUAGAGCUGAGGAGCUGAAUUACCAACACAUGACAUGGUUUUGCUUACAAUGUAUUGCAGAUUUUUGAAAACGAAUUUAUUGUUGUAUUGUAAUUUCUUUUGUAGGCUAUGCAAACCAUGUAAAAGAUCUAUGUAAUAUAUUGGAAUAAAGACUGAAUCUUAAUAA